rnacentral:rRNA from 1 species
UGCCCAAUGAUUAAUUAAAUGGCUGCAGUAUUAUGACUGUACAAAGGUAGCAUAAUCAAUAGUUUCUUAAUUAGAAGCUGGAAUGAAUGGAUAAACGAAAAAUUAACUAUCUUUUUUUAAAUAAUAGAAUUUUAUAUUUAAGUUAAAAAGCUUAAAUUUUAUUAAAAGACGAGAAGACCCUAUAGAGUUUCAUAUAUUUUAAAUUUUAUUAUAAAAAUUUAAUUUAAAAUAUAUUUUAUUGGGGUGAUAGAAAAAUUUAAUUAACUUUUAUUUAAUUUUAACAAUUAUAAUUGAUUUAAUGAUCCAUUAUUAUGAUUAUAAGAUUAAAUUACCUUAGGGAUAACAGCGUAAUAUUUUUUUAAAGUUCAUAUUAAAAAGAAUGAUUGCGACCU